rnacentral:rRNA from 1 species
UGGGGAAUAUUGGACAAUGGGGGCAACCCUGAUCCAGCAAUGCCGCGUGUGUGAAGAAGGUCUUCGGAUUGUAAAGCACUUUCGACGGGGACGAUGAUGACGGUACCCGUAGAAGAAGCCCCGGCUAACUUCGUGCCAGCAGCCGCGGUAAUACGAAGGGGGCUAGCGUUGCUCGGAAUGACUGGGCGUAAAGGGCGUGUAGGCGGUUUACACAGUCAGAUGUGAAAUCCCCGGGCUUAACCUGGGAGCUGCAUUUGAUACGUGUAGACUAGAGUGUGAGAGAGGGUUGUGGAAUUCCCAGUGUAGAGGUGAAAUUCG